rnacentral:rRNA from 1 species
UACGGAGGGUGCAAGCGUUAUCCGGAUUCACUGGGUUUAAAGGGUGCGUAGGCGGGCAGGUAAGUCAGUGGUGAAAUCUCCGAGCUUAACUCGGAAACUGCCAUUGAUACUAUUUGUCUUGAAUAUUGUGGAGGUAAGCGGAAUAUGUCAUGUAGCGGUGAAAUGCUUAGAUAUGACAUAGAACACCAAUUGCGAAGGCAGCUUACUACACAAUGAUUGACGCUGAGGCACGAAAGCGUGGGGAGCAAACAGG